CAACAAUGUAAAGCUCAGAAGUGGUGAAAUAGACAUGCUUGGGAAUGAUCUCCAGGAUGCCUUCCCCGGGACACGCUUCAUGUCAUAGGAUGGGCAGAAAGAAAACAUGGCCUCUUUCUUGACCCCAAGGAUGUCUUGCAAAGACCAAUAGUAACACAGCAAAAAAAGAAAAAAAAAAAAGGAAGAAGAAGAAGAAGAAGCAUUAAGUACCAAAAGAAAUGCUAUGAAAAUGCCAAAACCAGACUCUGGGACAUUUUGUCACCAUGCGGGGAGCUGAAGGAGAAUUGCUGAGUAGAGUCUACGUGUUGACAAGCUCUGUCAGGCCUCCUAAGGAAGAGAAAGCUGCCCUCCAGCUGAGCAUCUCCU
rnacentral:lncRNA from 1 species